rnacentral:rRNA from 1 species
UAUAGGGGCGAAAGGACUUAUCGAACCAUCUAGUAGCUGGUUCCUUCCGAAGUUUCCCUCAGGGAUAGCUGGUGCUCGGNAGACAAUUUUAUCUGGUAAAGCGAAUGAUUAGAGNCCUUGGGGCCUAAANGACCUCAANCUAUUCUCAAACUUUCAAUUGGUAAGAGGUCCGACUCGCUGGCCUGGAGCCGGACGAGUGAG